GGGCUUUAAACUGUUGGAGCACAUGAACUCCGGAGCCCAGGUUCCUGGGGUGAAUGAGGGGAGGUGGUGGGCUGGGCUGAGAACCAUGGCAGAUUUCCAUCUCAAACCAAGGCCACAGUAACUUGGUGAGUGUGGUGGAGCCUUGGCAGAGCUCUUCCAGGUAAUGCCAACAGCUUGGAUGUCCUUGUAGGUAUGCAGGACGCAGGGAUGCUGGCUGCCUCUAUGAGCUGUGCGUGAAGCUGCUCUCUGAGAAUGAGGAUGUGCUGGCUGAGUACAAAAGUGAGACUGUCACCAUCCCACAGGAAAAUGAUGGCAGCUGGAGUGAGAUCUCCCACACCUUUUCCAGCUAUGGGCCUGGGGUCCGUUUUGUCCGCUUUGAGCACGGUGGCCAGGACACGCUGUUCUGGAAGGGCUGGUACGGUGUACGUGUCACCAACAGCAGUGUGACAGUGGAGCCAUAGCUGUGCCUAACCAGGAUCUGCAUGCUGACUUCCCUCAGGGCAUCCCUUAGCCUUUGGAUGGUUUCUGCAUGGUGCUGCUUCUGGCUAUAAGGCCUUUCUGCAUAGGAACAUGCGUGCAAGAUGCCAGGAGCCACCACCCAUCCUUCCUCAAGAGGACUAUGCAAAGAAUGUGAAUGAAUUUCUGAAUGCAUCACAAGACUCAGGCUCAGCCCUUGCACUGAUGUUCUCUGUCAGACAGAUCACCUAAAAAUCCUGCAGACCUCCUCUCUUACAGCUCUAGUCCCCAGCACCCAGCCGGAGUCAGACUCUGUCCUGCCCGCUUCCAGACUUGGGCACCCCUUAACUUGAAGGGAUACUUUAUUUUCUGAAAGUUAGUGUGGAAAGAAAAGAAUAAAGAAAACCACAGAUCAAAACAUAGCAGGGAAACCCAGAGCCUGUCCCCACGUGUUUCCAUGACCUGCAGUGAGAACCUUGGCUUCUCCCAUUUAUAAAUGGGUAGCAUUGUUUAGCACAGAGGGCCUCUAGCUUGGCUGUCAGUGCUAUUAGUUUAAUUUUUAGUGAUAAUGCAAAGCAAGAGAUACUGAAUCCUUUUCUCUUACAAUGCAUUUAUCAAGGAAAGUGUUGGGAAGAGAAACCUGUCUGGUGUCCAACCCUGGGGCUUCAGGGAGCUCCCUCAGAUAGAUGGCAUCUGAGAAUAAUUGUUAAGGGAGAGAGAUGACAACAACUUAGGGGAACGGGUUAGAAAAAAUUGGGGAUAGGGAACAAAUGAAAGCAAACUCAUUUAGCCCUUCCUGGCCUCUGCAUGCUUCAUGUAACAAGCCUCCUGUCAUCCAGUGUGACUCUGCUAGCAGGACACAGAAAGCUGUUGGCUUUUCCACCUCUGCUGACUGUCUGCAAGCAGUACACGUCUGCCUCGUGCUUGCUGACAGGACAGCACUUCAUCUCCCACUUGUGCUUCUUGAUAUCACUCAGGGCUGUGAGCCCCAUCCUGAACAGACCCCUGAGUUUUCCUGAAUCAAGACUGUCCCUGCUAAUUAUUCCACUCAGAAGAGCAUCCCCUGACAGAGUUGGUGUUGCCUAGGGAGUGUAUUUAUAUUUUUAUAUCCAUCUGUCUUCCAUCCUGGGCUGCCAUUUAAGUGCCCCCCUUCAUGUGCAGUGACUGCUGCUGCCUGCAGCCAAGGGAAAGAGCUUCCCACCUGGACACUGUGCCUGCUACUUCCUCAGGCUUCCUGCCCAGCUGCAGCUGGGUGCCACACACACACCAGAGUCCAGGCAAACAUAAUAAAGUGACACAAUUGUGUGUGGA